UUUAAAAAGAAUUUCUUCUUUUUGUUUUUUUUCCCUUCCUCUCUCCUUUCCCCACCCCCCACGAGCUGUCUCUCACUUUCUUGCACAGCCGCCACGACCCAGCAGCCUUCCGACGGAGAUUCCGGCCAACUCCGGCCGUCUCCGGCCACGAAACUGGUCCCAUUCUCUUCGUCUCUCUCUCCUCUAUACACCUAUGCCAAUUUCCAGCUGUGAUUCUAAGUGUUAAUACCAGAAAUUCGAACCCAAGAUGCUAAAUGGGUCAUGGGGCAGCGUUUCCUUAGAAGUCUCGUGAGAAAAGUUGAGGCUAGUGUAGUGUGCUCUGCCUCUUCUCUCCCCUAGUCAAUUCCAGCUGCUCCCAUCGCCACCAGGCAGUUGAUCAUCUUAAAAUCGAACGGCCGUAGCAAGUUGUGAACCCAGAGACGAGUUUAUGUAGGAUAAACUUUUGAAUCAUUUUUGUUUGAAAAUUGAAUUAUGUUAGAUAUACUCUGAUGUCGCCCCUGUUAGGGAUUGAUUAUAAGGUCGGAGGCCUAAUAUGUAAACUGCAAGAAUUUAUCUUGUGCAUGCUGCUUGUUGGGAUGUAUAAAUGUUAGAUAUGCUGUCUUGUUUCUUUAGUAAGUGGGCCCGACAUCAUAUUCAUGGCCUCCUCCCAAGGCCUCUGAUUGAGACCAUGGGGUCCUCAUCUUCAAUUGCUAGCGAAUCCACCAAGUUCUCGUCCUCUGGAAGAUUCUCAACUGGAACUGGAUGGGCCUCGACUGGCAGAUCAUCAAUCAGGUGCAAGAAAAAAUCUAUGGCAUCUAUCCUUUCAAUCAUCAUAUUCAUGAUCUCCUCCCAAGGUCUCUGACUAAGACCAUGGGUAUUCCCGUAUAAAACAACAUUUUGAAAUUCAUACUAGUAGCCAUAGUCGUAUGGAAUAUCAUACUCUAGUAAUGGAUUACCCUCCAGCAACAGUAAUAUAGCAUCCUCCAGCUCCUGGACACUUUGAUAGUUUGCAACAUUAAUCUGUCCUAUGUAAUGAUCUAUUCCAUAAGAAGUCUGUCGAUUUACUAUAGCUAGCCCUUGAUCCCCAACCGCAUCUCCCUCGCUGCCCCUAUUUUCUUCCUCAUCAUGUUGGCCUCUUGAUCCUGUUGAAACAAGACAACUGCAUUAAAUAACACACGUAUAAUAUCCUAUUGAAACUUUAUAAAAUAAAAAAGACAAGCCCAUUAAAUCGACACUCCUGAUGGAAUGGAUCAUUACAUAGGAUAGAUUAAUGUUGCAAACCAUCAAAGUGUCCAGGAGCUGGAAGAUGCUAUAUUAUUGUUGCUGGAGGGUAAUCCAUUACUAGAGUAUGAUGUUCCAGACGAUUACAACUACUGGUAUGAAUUUCACAACGUUGUUUUUAUACGAGAAUACCCAUGGUCUCAGUCAGAGACCUUGAGAGGAGGUCAUGAAUAUGAUGAUUGAAAGGAUAGAUGCCACAUAUUUUUUCUUUCACCUGAUUGAUGAUCAGCCAGAAGAGGCCCAUCUAGUUCCAGUUGAGAAUCUUCCAAAGGACGAGGACCUGGUGGAUUCGCCAGAAGUUGAAGUUGAGGAUCUCAUGGAUUUGCCAGUGGUUGAGGACCCCAUGGAUCUGCAAGUGGUCGAGGACCAGCACCUGGUUGAGGAUGAGAGUGACAAGA